rnacentral:tRNA from 1 species
GUCCACAUGGCUCAGAGGAUAAGACGAUGGACUGGGACUCCUGAGGUCGUGAGUUCAAAUCUCACCUUAUCCA